UUAUAGUUGAAAAAGGAAAUUAAAAAUUUAGAGUGGUAUUUCAAAAGAAAGUAGAAGAGGGAGAGUGCAAAAAAGGAGUAGCUGUAAAUUGCAACACUGAAAAAUGUCCCCCCAUUUAGAGUUUACUUUUAGUACUUGUCAAACUUGUCAGCUAAUUAAAGUGUUUUUUAACUACUGUGUGAGCGUGCUUUUCAAUAGUUUAUUUAAUUUAUUUAAUGUGUACAAAAAAGAUAAACAAAGUGUUGAUAACUUUAUAUAAAUAUUUAACAGAAUUCCGAAUCCUGAAAGACAAAAUUAUUAUUGGUACAACAUUCUAUACUAUACUAGCUGUGAUGAUGAUGUUUUUCUGAUGGUGAUGGCAAAGUAUUUAUCACAAAUGUGGGUCAUAAAAAAUUCUUCGUGUGUGCGAAAAAUUUAAGUACAAAACACGC